CCUACGGGUGGCAGCAGUGGGGGAUAUUGCACAAUGGGGGGAACCCUGAUGCAGCGACGCCGCGUGGGUGAAGGAGCGUUUCGGCGCGUAAAGCCCUAUCGGCAGGGAAGAAGAUGACGGUACCUGGCCAAGAAGCACCGGCUAACUACGGGCCAGCAGCCGCGGUAAUACGUAGGGGGCAAGCGUUAACCGGAUUUACUGGGUGUAACGGGGGCGCAGACGGCAAUGCAAGCCAGGAGUGAAAGCCCGGGGCCCAACCCCGGGACUGCUCUUGGAACUGGAUGGCUGGAGUACAGGAGAGGCAGGCAGAAUUCCUAGUGUAGCGGUGAAAUGCGUAGAUAUUAGGAGGAACACCGGUGGCGAAGGCGGCCGGCUGGACGGUGACUGACGUUGAGGCGCGAAGGCGUGGGGAGCAAACAGGAUUAGAUACCCUUGUAGUC
rnacentral:rRNA from 1 species